UCGAGAAAUGGAUAACAUCACCCGCGUUCGCCUGCGGGGAGGGAAAUUAACGCAUAAUAUGUUAGCGUUCACUGAAUGAAGACGUACCUAUCAUUCGUAGCUAGUGAUAAUUCUAUUUAGUUUAUUUGUGAUGGAGUGGAAUAAAAAAAAUACUUUGUUUUUUAUACAACUAAUAACAGAAAGACCGGUUCUUUGGGAUGUUUCAUUGGAAGAUCAUAAAAAUAAAUACAAAAAGCUGGAUGCACUGUUGGAAAUAGCACGCAUUUUACGUAUAACAAAAGAGGAUGUAAAUUCAAAAUGGUUAAGUCUAAAGGGCCAAUAUAAUAGAGAGAAGAAGAAAGUGAAUGGGCUUGGAACGGGUAGUGGAGCAUCCGAAAUUUAUACUUCCAAGUGGUUUGCUUACCAGGAAAUGGCUAGUCUGUUGUCUUGCAACGAUCCCCAAGCCACCACAUCAAAUUUACACUAUAAUGCGAUAUCACCACAGCCUGCAUCCUCACCACCACUACCAACUAUGCCGACACAACCGAUAGGUUUGCCGACACCAAACCCAAUGAGAAUCAAGGGAACAGAUAUAAUAGAAAGAAAGGGAAAUUCUGGUUUAUAUGGAGAGGCUUUGCUUACUUUACAAGCAACUAAAGAAAGAAAAAGUAAAACACAGGACCCAGAAGAUGAAAUCACCAUUUUCGGACAUUACAUUGCUGCUCAAAUGCGCAAAUUUCAACCUGUUUUACAAAGCAAGCUGAAAUUGGAUAUUCAAACUCUGCUUUGUAAAUAUGAAAUUGAUAACUUGGAAUAUACAAGCAGAUCGGCCUCCAGUAAUAAUUCGGUGAAUUUCAAUAUAAACACAUUACUAAAUGAUGAGUCUUCCAGUCGAUCCAGUCCGAUUUAAACGCCCGAUCCGAUUUAAACGUACAAACAGCCGGAAACACAAAUCUUGCAAGCCACGUCCACCUCAGGUUCUACUACCACCACUACCAGUACCUACACUACCUGUUGUCUACCAGCCAAUCCACUUGAAAUCAAAUCAAAGAGAUUUUUAGUCAUUUCAAACGAUGGGACAAUAAGGGAAGUCACUCAAAUGCUUCACCAAAUUCACUGGUUAUUACUUAUUAUUUUAUAAAAUGAAACCAUAAGCUCUGUUACAUAUGCAAUAGAUAUACCAGAAAAAACAAUUGAAUAUGUUUCAAAAUCUCAUAAUUAAACUUUUAUUGUUACUUAAUAUUUUCUUUAUAUAAGCAUAUUAAUAUUGUAUAAAUUUAAAAUAAGAAUAAAAUCUAUAUAUGUAAAAAUGAAUUGCUGUUCGUUAGUCUCGCUAAAACUCGAGAACGGCUGGACCGAUUUGGCAAAUUUAGGUCUUGAAUUAUUUGUGGAAGUCCAGAGAAGGUUUAAAAUGUGAAUAAAUAGAAAAAUGCUGCUAAAUUAAAUAAAAACAACAAA